UCUUUGGGAUUUGAAUACGAAAUUGGGGAAGGAGCUUCUGUUGGCUGUGUUGGAAUAGUUAUAUUCUCAUCAAUUUCUAAAGUUGAACUAAAAUCCCAAGAAUAAACUCUAUGCGUAGCAUAAAAACUUCCUGUUGCUGCUGAAAAGCCAAAAGUAACGCGUUCUGGCAGGUAAUCCCUCAGAUCCAGAAUUACACUAAGGUAUUGCAUCUCCUGAGUGUCAUUUCUAGUGAAAACAACACUUAGAUUAUGUGUACUAGAAUUAUAACUAGUCCAAGCAUCAUUUCUCUUCCCUCCCCUAAUGUCACAAGACCAAGUAAUAUUUUUCACAGAUUUCAGAGAAUUGAUGUCAAUACCAACAUGUUCGCCUGAAGGAUCAAAAUCGUUACUGAAGAUAUCAAAUUCAACAGCAACAAAACUAUUCACUGUAGUGUUUAGUUGUUG
rnacentral:misc_RNA from 1 species